AAACCAACAGGGAUUGCCUCAGUAACGGCGAGUGAAGCGGCAAAAGCUCAAAUUUGAAAUCUGGUACCUUCGGUGCCCGAGUUGUAAUUUGGAGAGGGCAACUUUGGGGCCGUUCCUUGUCUAUGUUCCUUGGAACAGGACGUCAUAGAGGGUGAGAAUCCCGUGUGGCGAGGAGUGCGGUUCUUUGUAAAGUGCCUUCGAAGAGUCGAGUUGUUUGGGAAUGCAGCUCUAAGUGGGUGGUAAAUUCCAUCUAAAGCUAAAUAUUGGCGAGAGACCGAUAGCGAACAAGUACAGUGAUGGAAAGAUGAAAAGAACUUUGAAAAGAGAGUGAAAAAGUACGUGAAAUUGUUGAAAGGGAAGGGCAUUUGAUCAGACAUGGUGUUUUGUGCCCUCUGCUCCUUGUGGGUAGGGGAAUCUCGCAUUUCACUGGGCCAGCAUCAGUUUUUGGUGGCAGGAUAAAUCCAUAGGAAUGUAGCUUGCCUCGGUAAGUAUUAUAGCCUGUGGGAAUACUGCC
rnacentral:rRNA from 1 species